UUAGCUAGUUGGUGAGGUAACGGCUCACCAAGACUUCGAUCAGUAGCCGGCCUGAGAGGGCGAUCGGCCACACUGGAACUGAGACACGGUCCAGACUCCUACGGGAGGCAGCAGUGGGGAAUCUUGCGCAAUGGGCGAAAGCCUGACGCAGCAACGCCGCGUGGGUGAUGAAGGUCUUCGGAUUGUAAAACCCUGUCGUUAGGGACGAAGGUAUGAAUCCUAAUACGGUUCAUGCUUGACGGUACCUAUAAAGGAAGCCCCGGCUAACUCUGUGCCAGCAGCCGCGGUAAUACCGAUGGGGCAAGCGUUAUUCGGAAUUAUUGGGCUAAAAGCGUCCGAUU
rnacentral:rRNA from 1 species